rfam:Archaeon GW2011_AR18 QT09_C0012, whole genome shotgun sequence.
AGUUUUGAUCCUACUAAGCCAUUAGGUGGAUGACUUGGCUUAGACUUUGAGGAAGAGCGUGGCAAGCAGCGUUAUGCCUUAGGGAGGUGCAAGCAGCCUUUGAUCUAAGGAUACUUGAAUAGGACUUCCUUUUCAUUUGAAAGUUCCGCAAGGAAAAGCCACGGGGGGAAUUGAAGCGUCUUAGUACCCCCAGGAAAAGAAAUCAAUUGAGAUACUGUUAUUAUCAGCGAGAAAAAACAGUGUAAGACAAACCGAAUGUUCUAUAGCAAUAUAGAAUAGAUGUGGUGUUUGGACUCAUUUUUAGUCCAAGUAGUUAUUCUAAAGUUUCUGGAAAGAAAUGCCAUAGAGGGUGAUAGUCCCGUAGGGAUAAUGAAUUGGAUGUAUGAGUAUCUAGAGUAGGGCUUGUUGGAUAUCAAGUCUGAAUACGGGAGACACAACCUUCCAAUCUUAAAUAUAAGUCUAAGUCCGAUAGAGAAUAAGUACCGUGAGGGAAAGUUGAAAAGAACUCAUAAUAGAGAGUUAAAAGCGCCUGAAACCUAAUGGUCACGGAAUGCUACUGCCCUUUGGGGUUGUAGCGUACGUUUCGAAUAACGGGCCAGGAAGUGUACCUGAGUGGUGAGAGUAAGACAUUGUAUGUUGUACUCAUAGGGAAACCAAAAAUCCGCAGUUUACGAGGGAUAGUGUAUGAAAAUGCACUUAAUCACUUGGGUACGACCCGAAACCGGGUGAUCUAACCCUGGGCAAGAUGAAGCAGGGGUAAAACCUUGUGGAGGUCUGCAGAGGUUCUGUGUGCAAGCGUUCUUCUGACUUGGGGUUAGGGGUGAAAGGCCAAUCGAACCCGGUGAUAGCUGGUUCCUGCCGAAAUGGGCCGCAGUCCAGUCUUCUGGGAGAUGACUAAGGAGGUAGAGGUACGGAUUAGAGGUUUAGGCCUCGAAAGGGGUCGAUCUCUCGUCCAACUCAAAAUGCUUUAGUAUCGUAGAACAGAGGAGACGGCGUUACGGGGUAAACUUGUAAUGCUAGAGGGGAACAACCCAAGACUGCAGUUAAGGUCCUUAAAUACUAGUUAAGUGUUAAAGGGUGAAAGGUGUUUAUUCCCUAAGACAGUGGGGAGGUAGGCUUAGAAGCAGCCAUCCUUUAAAGAAAGCGUAACAGCUCACCUAUCUAGGGAAUAUGCCCUUAAAAUGGACGGGGCUAAAUUAGUUACCGAUACUGCAGAUGACUAAAGCUUUAGUUAAUGGUAGGCAGGUGUUCUGUAUAGGCAGAAGUUUUCACGUAAGUGGAGAUGGACUGUACGGAAAUAAUAAUCCUGGUAGUAGUAGGAUCGAAACAGAGUGUGACUCUCUGAUACCGAAAGGGCAAGGGUUUCUUGGCCAUGUAAGUCAGCUAAGAGUUAGUUGGUCCUAACCUUUUAUCGUAAAUGAUACUGGGGAAAGGGAAAAUGGUUAAUAUUCCAUUACUAUUUAGAUACACGUGGCGACACAAGAUAAUUAGCUGAGCUUCGGGCUAGACUAACAUUUACUGUCGUAAGUGUUAAUAAGAAUAAAUCUCGGGAGUAUCGUAAUGAUGAGAACGAGAUUAAAUCUUAGAAUAGCAGGUGUAUGCUUGUUUAGUUGAUGCCUGGAGCCCCUGAAAAGGCAAAUUAUAAGGAUUCUAAAUAUCCAUACCAAGAACCAACACUGGUGCCCCUAGGUGAGAAGCCUAAGGUAGGAGGGAGACAAUCUAGCUAAGGGAACUCGGCAAAUUAGUCCUGUGUCUUCGGUCUAAGGGAUCCCUGCGAUUGUGUUCGUAUGGAUGCAAUUACAGGGCUCAGUGACAAAGGGCGCCCGACUGUUUAACAAAAACACAACCUUUCGCAAGUCUGUGAAGAUGUGUACGGAAGGUGACGUCUGCCCAGUGCCAGUAAUUCAAACUCCUUUUCAAGGGAGCUAAGAUCUGGUAAACGGCGGGAAUAACUAUGAUUCUCUUAAGGUAGCGAAAUACCUUGUCGUUUUAUUGACGACGCGCAUGAAUGACGUAACGAGGUGCCCACUGUCCCUAGCUAGAACCCCCCGAAUACAUCCUUCUGGUGUAAAGACCAGAGACUUCUAAUGGGAAGUAAAGACCCCGUGAAGCUUUACUGUAGCUUAUUGCUGUGAUGUGGAAUAGGUUGUGCAGCGUAGGUAGUAGUCGUUCGAUGGUUUAGACGCUAGUUUGAAUCUAGACAAUAAUGAAACACUACCCUUCUUGUUCUACGUUACUAACUUUAGUAAUAAAGGACAACAUUAGGCAGACAGUUUGGCUGGGGCGGCACCCUGCUGAAAAAGUAUCAGUAGGGCCCAAAGGUCAGCUCAAGAGGUUUAGAAAUCCUCUGUAGAGUGCAAAAGCAAAAGCUGGCUUGACUGUGUUCUGAAGAGUAAAGAACGCAGGAAGGAAACUUUGGUUUAGCGAACCCUUACGCCUUCUUUGUGGGGGCUAAGUAUGACAGAAAAGCUACUCCGGGGAUAACAGAGUUGUCGCGCCUAAGAGUUCAUAUCGACGGCGCGGUUUGCUACAUCGACGUCGGCUCUUCCUAACCUGGCCGUGCAGAAGCGGCCAAGGGUGGGGGUGUUCACCCAUUAAAAGGGAUCGUGAUCAGUUGUCUGAUAAGGCAGGCUGAGCAGCUACGCAUCAUUGGAUAACAGCUGAAUGCAUCUAAGCUGGAAACCAUCCUCAAAAAGAGACACCAUUUAGGGCUCUCGUAAAAGACGAGGUUGAUAGGAUUGGGAUGUAAGUACCAAGGUAACGAGGUAUUUAGUCUGCAAUUACUAAUAGCUCGAUGGAUCAAAAAA